rnacentral:rRNA from 1 species
UACGUAGGGGGCAAGCGUUAUCCGGAUUUACUGGGUGUAAAGGGAGCGUAGACGGCUGUGCAAGCCAGAUGUGAAAGCCCGGGGCUCAACCCCGGGACUGCAUUUGGAACUGUGUGGCUGGAGUGUCGGAGAGGCAGGCGGAAUUCCUAGUGUAGCGGUGAAAUGCGUAGAUAUUAGGAGGAACACCGGUGGCGAAAGCGGCUCUCUGGCCUGUAACUGACACUGAGGCUCGAAAGCAUGGGGAGCAAACAGG